rnacentral:rRNA from 1 species
UACGAAGGGGGCUAGCGUUGCUCGGAAUCACUGGGCGUAAAGCGCACGUAGGCGGCUUCUUAAGUCAGGGGUGAAAUCCUGGAGCUCAACUCCAGAACUGCCUUUGAUACUGAGAAGCUUGAGUCCGGGAGAGGUGAGUGGAACUGCGAGUGUAGAGGUGAAAUUCGUAGAUAUUCGCAAGAACACCAGUGGCGAAGGCGGCUCACUGGCCCGGUACUGACGCUGAGGUGCGAAAGCGUGGGUAGCAAACAGG